UCCACCCUACAAACCCCGAGUUCCCUUCUUCCUCCAUGCUUCUCACAACAUCAUCAUCAUCAUCAUCAUCUUCUCCCCAUUACACGCAACAUGAAGCUCUAAGACCAACAUCACUCGACACGAUCAAGAUCUCACCACUUCAUGAAGAUCCUCAAGAUUCAAGAGUUAUGAUCGAUUUGUUCUAGAUUCAACCAUCUCUCAUGCUUUUGUGUUGUAUUUUUGCUGCUAUUUUGGCCAC
rfam:Brassica oleracea var. oleracea cultivar TO1000 chromosome C8, whole genome shotgun sequence